rnacentral:rRNA from 1 species
GAAUUUUCCGCAAUGGGCGAAAGCCUGACGGAGCAACGCCGCGUGGAUGAUGAAGCCUUUCGGGGCGUAAAAUCCUUUCAGUGGGGACGAAGCGAGUGACGGUACCCACAGAAGAAGCACCGGCUCACUCCGUGCCAGCAGCCGCGGUAAUACGGAGGGUGCAAGCGUUGUUCGGAAUUACUGGGCGUAAAGCGCACGUAGGCGGGUUCGCAAGCCGAAUGUGAAAUCCCCGGGCUCAAUCCGGGAAUUGCAGUUGGAACUACGAAUCUUGAAUGCUUGAGAGGGUGACGGAAUUCCUGGUGUAGAAGUGAAAUUCGUAGAUAUCAGGAGGAACACCGGAGGCGAAGGCGGUUGCCUGGCAAUGCAUUGACGCUGAGGUGCGAAAGCGUGGGGAGCAAAC